UACGAAGGGGCUAGCGUUGUUCGGAUUUACUGGGCGUAAAGCGCACGUAGGCGGAUUGUUAAGUCAGGGGUGAAAUCCUGGAGCUCAACUCCAGAACUGCCUUUGAUACUGGCAAUCUUGAGUCCGGAAGAGGUGAGUGGAACUCCUAGUGUAGAGGUGGAAUUCGUAGAUAUUAGGAAGAACACCAGUGGCGAAGGCGGACUCACUGGUCCGGUAUGACGCUGAGGUGCGAAAGCGUGGGAGCAACAGGG
rnacentral:rRNA from 1 species